GAUGAACGCUAGCUACAGGCUUAACACAUGCAAGUCGAGGGAAAACGACAUUGAAGCUUGCUUCGAUGGUCGUCGACCGGCGCACGGGUGAGUAACGCGUAUCCAACCUGCCUCUGACCAAGGGAUAACCCGUCGAAAGUCGGCCUACUACCUUAUGCAGUCGUCGGAAGUCAUCUGAUGACGACGAAAGAUUUCAUCGGUGAGAGAUGGGGAUGCGUCUGAUUAGCUUGUUGGCGGGGUAACGGCCCACCAAGGCAACGAUCAGUAGGGGUUCUGAGAGGAAGGUCCCCCACAUUGGAACUGCGGCACGGUCCAAACUCCGACGGGAGGCAGCAGUGAGGAAUAUUGGUCAAUGGGCGAGGGCCUGAACCAGCCAAGUAGCGUGCAGGAUGACGGCCCUAUGGGUUGUAAACUGCUUUUAUGCGGGGAUAAAGUGAGGGACGUGUCCUUCAUUGCAGGUACCGCAUGAAUAAGGACCGGCUAAUUCCGUG
rnacentral:rRNA from 1 species